ACGCUGGCGGCGUGCCUAACACAUGCAAGUCGAACGAGAAAGUGGAGCAAUCCAUGAGUAAAGUGGCGACCGGGUGAGUAACACGUGACUAACCUACCCUAGAGUGGGGAAUAACCUCGGGAAACCGGGGCUAAUACCGCAUAACAUCGCGAGGGGAAGAUCCUUGCGAUCAAAGGAGCAAUUCGCUCAAGGAGGGGGUCGCGGCUGAUUAGCUAGUUGGAGAGGUAACGGCCCACCAAGGCAAAGAUCAGUAUCCGGCCUGAGAGGGCGCACGGACACACUGGAACUGAAACACGGUCCAGACUCCUACGGGAGGCAGCAGUGGGGAAUUUUGCGCAAUGGGGGAAACCCUGACGCAGCAACGCCGCGUGGAGGAUGAAGUCCCUUGGGAUGUAAACUCCUUUCGAUCGGGACGAUUAUGACGGUACCGGAAGAAGAAGCACCGGCUAACUCUGUGCCAGCAGCCGCGGUAAUACAGAGGGUGCAAGCGUUGUUCGGAAUUAUUGGGCGUAAAGGGCGCGUAGGCGGUGCUGUAAGUCCGUGGUGAAAUCUCUGGGCUCAACUCAGAGUCUGCCAUAGAAACUGCAGUGCUGGAGUGUGGGAGAGGUGAGUGGAAUUCCCGGUGUAGCGGUGAAAUGCGUAGAUAUCGGG
rnacentral:rRNA from 1 species